AUUGAACGCUGGCGGCAUGCUUUACACAUGCAAGUCGAACGGUAACAGGCCGCAAGGUGCUGACGAGUGGCGAACGGGUGAGUAAUGCAUCGGAACGUGCCCAGUCGUGGGGGAUAACUGCUCGAAAGAGCAGCUAAUACCGCAUACGAUCUAUGGAUGAAAGCGGGGGACCGUAAGGCCUCGCGCGAUUGGAGCGGCCGAUGUCAGAUUAGGUAGUUGGUGGGGUAAAGGCUCACCAAGCCAACGAUCUGUAGCUGGACUGAGAGGACGACCAGCCACACUGGGACUGAGACACGGCCCAGACUCCUACGGGAGGCAGCAGUGGGGAAUUUUGGACAAUGGGGGCAACCCUGAUCCAGCAAUGCCGCGUGCAGGAAGAAGGCCUUCGGGUUGUAAACUGCUUUUGUACGGAACGAAACGGUCUGGGUUAAUACCCUGGGCUAAUGACGGUACCGUAAGGAUAAGCACCGGCUAACUACGUGCCAGCCGCCGCUGUAAUAC
rnacentral:rRNA from 1 species